rnacentral:lncRNA from 1 species
CUACAUAGAAAACCCUACCGUGAACGUUACCUCAUACCGGACGGGGUAUUGAGAAAAGAUAUUUUUGGCGCUCAUAUCGGAUAGGAUAUGGGAACGACCCGAUUCACCCUCAUACCGGACGGGGUAUUGAGGAAUAGUACUUUUUGGUGCCCAUACCGGAUGGGAUAUAGGGAUGGCCGGUUAGUUGACAAGUUUUGUUAUAGGUUCACGCGUAGUGGGACAUCCCUAUGGACCCCCAGGGACACCAGUAAGCAAAUAAAAAGAGAAAGUUGUUGUUCUGACUAAUUGAAUAUGAGAUUAUAAUG